rnacentral:misc_RNA from 1 species
AACGCAUAUUGCGCUCUCUGGUAUUCCGGAGAGCAUGCCUGUUUCAGCAUCAUUUGAACAUCUCAAAAUCGUCUUUUUUUUGAUGGUUUUGGAAGCUGGGCUUUUUGCUGUGAUUAGUUUGUCACAACUAGCCUGAAAUUGUGGAAAGAUUAAUGCAAGAAAACGUGUAGAUGCUAAAGUGGUUGAGACGAAAAGCUUAUUAGUUGACUGCGGUCAAACUUUGCUGACUAGUCCUGACAAACGGUAGCAUGCCUACAUUCACAAGUUGAUCUGAAAUCAGGCAGGACUACCCGCUGAACUUAA